GUAAAAGUCUUGAGUUUCACUUGGCUGAAAGGGAGAUUUGAUCUUCCUCCUCCUCAAUUCUUUAAUGAUCCUUUCACCAAACUCAAACCCAUGAGUUUUUUCUCAGAAACAUGUUUCAGACAAACCCUUUUCUCAGUUUCCUCUGUAAUUUCUUAAAUCUCUCAGAAACAGAGUUUCAGCCUUUCAGGUAAGUUCUUGAUCAUUUCUCUGUUUUUACAGAUAUGGGUUUGAAUAAUAGAAGAUUUCUGUUUAAUCCAUAUGAAGGAAACAUAUCUUUACCUGAUUGUAUGUAUUGUUUUCCAGAUUGUCCAAUCAAAUGUUAUCCACCACCAGAUUACCCAUUUUUAGAUGAAUAUAUGCCUCCACUUUCUUCUUUCUUUCCACCACCACCACCGCCGCCGCCACCACCACCUCCUAGUCUUCUUUUAUCACCUUUUAUGAUUGCUUUGAUUGCAAUAAUUGGUAGUUUCUUUCUUGUGAUGAGUUUUUACACAAUUUUACUCAUAGUCAAGUGUUGUUGGAAGAACAGUAGAAGAAGGAGGAGGAGAAAUACACCACCACAAGAUCAAAACCCAGAUGAUGAUAAUAAUAUGCUUGAAGAGUUCAUGGAUGAGAAUGAUGGACCGGUAAUUUAUCAUCCAAUUUGGUAUAUUACUACUGUUGGUUUAGAACAAGCAAUUAUAAAUGCUAUUAGUGUUUGUAAAUAUAAGAAAGGGGAAGGAUUGGUUGAAGGAACUGAUUGUUCUGUGUGUUUGAGUGAAUUCGAUGAAGGCGAGACUCUUCGUCUUUUGCCCAAGUGUAGUCAUGCUUUUCAUCUUCCUUGUAUUGAUACUUGGUUAAGGAAUCAUAAGAAUUGUCCGUCAUGUCGUGCACCAAUCGUGUCGAACCCAUCUGUGGGUGUGUCAAAUGCUAUUGUGCCGAUUCCAGAAGAGGAACUGGAUGUUGUGGAGGAGACUCGGGUUGAUAUUCCGGAGAUUGGUAGUGGAGUGGAGAUAGGAGGGAGGGAGGAUAGUGUGGUUAGUGAUUCGAGGAUUGGGAUUGAAGAAGAGAUAGAGUUGCAGGAAGUGAGAAGGGAUGUGGAUUUGGUAAAGGAAGGUGAGGAUUCUACUGUUCCUAAUUCUGAAAUUAGAGUUGUAAGUGACUUGGGUGAGAAUCAUCGGCCUCUCGAGAAUGCGAUACAGCCGGUUAGGAGAUCUGUCUCAAUGGAUUUCUCAUCAAUGUUUUGUUUCUCUAUGAGUAAUUCAUUUCGUGUGGAAUUGGAAGUGAAUCCAGAGUUGCAGCCUGCUAGAAGUAAAAAUUCUGAAUUGGCAAUUGUCCCUAAGAAUAAAAGCUUGCAUCCUAGUGUUUUGGGUCUCAUUGGUAGUUCUUCGAAAGGGAGAUCAUUGCAGAGCGUACCUAUUUCCAUGAAGCGAUCUUUCUCAAGUGGUGCAAAGUUGUUUAUACCGAGAUACCACCACAACCGGAGCUCAAUUCUUCCUCUGUGAGCUUCUUGCUCUUUUUCUGGCUUUAGUAUGUAAAUAAAUAAUAUGAUGGGUUAUGUUUGUCAAAAACCGCAUUAUUUGAGAUAUCUAGCAAAGGUUGGAUAUUUUUAAUACAGAUGAUCGGGGAACUCCUUGGCUUUGUGCGGUAAUUUUAAUUGGUCAGGGGAAUGAUCAAAGAACUGCAACUUCUAAACCCGGUAACGUAAUUAUGUAAUGUUUGUCCAAUUUCAAGACGAAACUUGUAAACCGUAAGACUGUUGAUGUUUUCAUUUUUGCGUGUGUUUUGCAAGUUGUACAAGUGAAAUGCAUGCUUGUCAUCUACAUCGUAAUGUACGAGUAACAAACUUAAUGAGAUGAGUGAAAUCAGAGAUUGGGGUUGUAUAUUUUGGAAAAAUCUGGCGUCUGAGGCGGCUUCAAGCGUUAUUAGUCAUGUAUGCACAAAAUUUGUUUUCCUCAGUCUUUCGUUGAUAGCUUUUCGUCAGUCUUUUCUGCACAAUACUUUUGAGAUCACUUAGAAUUAGUUCUUGUUUCCAUUUUCUUUGUUAGUCUUACGUUUCUUCCAUUGGACUUCAAGUUAUUUAGAAGCAAAGCUGGCAAUAUUUGCUGUAAUUGUUUCUCAAUCAGCCAUCAAACUUGAGAGUAAAGUUGAAA